rnacentral:lncRNA from 1 species
CAGUGACCAGCUGAAAGUACUUAUGUUGCACCCUUAUUUUUGCAGACGGGGCGUAAAACAUUAUGCAGGACUGGAGCGAUGGUUCGCUGAUUCAUUCGCAAACGUGAGUCACGGCAUCGGGACAUUUUGCUUUAAAUUUUUUGUGUAUUCAAUUAAAAUGCAUCAUGUGAUAAGAGUGUUAUUACGAGUAUCUUACAUAAUAGAACAACGAAAACAUAGGCGAGGC